rnacentral:rRNA from 1 species
CCUACGGGUGGCAGCAGUGGGGAAUAUUGGACAAUGGGGGGAACCCUGAUCCAGCCAUGCCGCGUGUGUGAAGAAGGCCCUCGGGUUGUAAAGCACUUUCAGUGAGGAAGAACGCCUGGUGGUUAAUACCCAUCAGGAAAGACAUCACUCACAGAAGAAGCACCGGCUAACUCCGUGCCAGCAGCCGCGGUAAUACGGAGGGUGCGAGCGUUAAUCGGAAUUACUGGGCGUAAAGCGCGCGUAGGUGGCUUGAUAAGCCGGUUGUGAAAGCCCCGGGCUCAACCUGGGAACGGCAUCCGGAACUGUCAAGCUAGAGUGCAGGAGAGGAAGGUAGAAUUCCCGGUGUAGCGGUGAAAUGCGUAGAGAUCGGGAGGAAUACCAGUGGCGAAGGCGGCCUUCUGGACUGACACUGACACUGAGGUGCGAAAGCGUGGGUAGCAAACAGGAUUAGAUACACCAGUAGUC